GUGACUGUGUCGAGCUGUCGAAGCCGAGGAAGAGGGAAUCCUGUGGGAGGGCGAGAUCCAUCGCUGAUUCCGAUCCAAAUUCAGCUGCAAGGGUAAAUGGUUUUAGAUGAAAUUGGAUUUUGAUGGAUUUAUAGGGAAAGGCGGCUGGGAAUUAGGAUUAGGAUUAGGAUCAGGAACAAACUGUUUCAGUUAUGUUUGGAU
rnacentral:misc_RNA from 1 species